CGGGGUGAGUAACGCGUGGGUAACCUGCCUCAUACAGGGGGAUAACAGUUAGAAAUGACUGCUAAUACCGCAUAAGACCACAGGAUCGCAUGAUCCGGUGGUAAAAACUCCGGUGGUAUGAGAUGGACCCGCGUCUGAUUAGCUAGUUGGUGGGGUAACGGCUCACCAAGGCGACGAUCAGUAGCCGACCUGAGAGGGUGACCGGCCACAUUGGGACUGAGACACGGCCCAA
rnacentral:rRNA from 1 species